CACCGUUUCCUUGGAGACAUGAAAAUUGGAUCAAUAAAGAGAAGUUUAGCAUGGUCCCUGCAUAACGAGGCGACACUCGCAAACGAAGUGGUCGCAUUUAAU